GCAUUCGCUUCAUGGGGGAUAGGGUACGAGGGGCUUGUCCUCUAGUGGCGGACGGGUGAGUAACGCGUAAGUACUUACCCUUAGGUGGGGAACAACAGUUGGAAACGACUGCUAAUACCGCAUAUGCUGAGGAGCAAAAAGAGGAAUCUGCCUAGGGAGGGGCUUGCGUCUGAUUAUGCUAGUUGGUGAGGUAAUGGCUUACCAAGGCUACGAUCAGUAGCUGGUCUGAGAGGAUGAUCAGCCACACUGGGACUGAGACACGGCCCAGACUCCUACGGGAGGCAGCAGUGGGGAAUUUUCCGCAAUGGGCGAAAGCCUGACGGAGCAAUGCCGCGUGGAGGAAGAAAGCUUACGGGUUGUAAACUCCUUUUCUCAGAGAAGAAAAAAUGACGGUAUCUGAGGAAUAAGCAUCGGCUAACUCUGUGCCAGCAGCCGCGGUAAUACAGAGGAUGCAAGCGUUAUCCGGAAUGAUUGGGCGUAAAGCGUCUGUAGGUUGUUUAUUAAGUCCGCUGUUAAAUCCCACGGCUUAACCAUGGACAGGCGGCGGAAACUAUUAAACUAGAGUACGGUAGGGGCAGAGGGAAUUUCCGGUGGAGCGGUGGAAUGCGUAGAUAUCGGAAAGAACACCCAAGGCGAAGGCACUUUGCUGGGCCGAAACUGACACUGAGAGACGAAAGCUAGGGGAGCAAAUGGGAUUAGAUACCCCAGUAGUCCUAGCAGUAAACGAUGGAUACUGAGCGCUGCGCGUAUCAACCCGUGCAGUGCUUUAGCUAACGCGUUAAGUAUCCCGCCUGGGGAGUACGC
rnacentral:rRNA from 1 species